rnacentral:lncRNA from 1 species
AGUUUAGAAAAGGGAAGGCAACAAUGUGACCCAUGGGCAGUGUUGUCCUGCCUGAGCCUUGUCUGCAGGGCUGUGGCACUGGGGAGCAGGACAAGGACCACACCCACUGGAGAAAGAAGCACGUGCUGCUUUUGUGAGUUCACAAAGGUCUCAAGCUUCCAGGGCUAACAUUGUCCCUGCCACAUGUGACCAACUUAGAAUGAUCACCUGCCACAUGCCACAGCCUGGACAUUGGAAUCUAAGGUGGAAAUCCUGGUUGAUGCUGAUGCUGUGGGUUCUGGGACACACUUUGAGAACCACUGCUGUAUUGAGUGGUCUUUCAUUUCGGGUUCCUCUCGGUGCUGGUGCUGGAAGAGAGGGAAGACAGCACCAAGCUGUGAAGUCACUCAAGCAGCCUGUGGAAAGGCCACAUGGAGAGAAACUGAGCUCCCACCUGCAGCCAGCAUGGACUUGAGUCAUAUGACUGAGACACCUGGGAAGUGGAUCCUCCAGCCCCAGUCAAGCCUUCAGAUGACAGCAGCCCAGAACCACCCAGCCAGGCCUGCUCCAUAUUCCUGACCCAAAGAAAUUGUGAGGCAUUGGGAGACAUUGAGAGAAAUUGUGAGACAAUGAUCAUUGUGUUGUAAGUCACUAAGUUUGGGGGUCAUUUGCUGUGCAGCCUCAGAUAAUGAGGACUUCUUCGUGCCCUUUCUUGGCUUCUUCUGUUGCUCCAACUGCCAUCUGAUGAAAGUGUGAUGAAAACCAAAGGCCCUCCUCCAGAAAGUUCAGGUACAUACAGAAAGAAAUGGGGGUGCAAUUUCAAAGGGAUCACAGGUCAUCUAAAAGCAGACUUCAGACCUCCAGAUCCCAGAGUCCCCAGCGGGCCCCCAAUAGACAUGGAACCUGAGUGAGGAAUAAGUGUCUCAGCUGCCGUGCUGUGGGACAUGGCCAUGCUGGCUGCAGGGUCUUCAGCUUGGUCAUGGCGGAGUGCCCAUGGCCUACAUUCCUUUCUCCUCCUCUUCUCUGUGUCCUUGGCAGGCUGCCCCUGCAGAGGAGGCCCGUGGGUGCCCAGACUAAGUAGGUAAGUUUAGCUCUAAGGGAGCAGGUUGAGAGAGCCCAUCUGGUUGUGUACAGGCAACUUCUCAGCCAAGCUCUGCCAAUUGCUGGUGUUCAUACUUGGCUGAUGCCUCCACUUCAAUACAGAGCCUGCAGGGGAGGCAGGAUGUGAACGCAGCCCCUGGAACCUGACUGUGGGC